rnacentral:lncRNA from 1 species
CAUUCGGCGUCGGCUCUCGCCAGGACACGAAAAACGUUAUCCUAUCACAAAAAUCCUUUAAUUGCUCGUACUUCGGGAUUGUUUACGUUCUAACGUGAUGUAGAGUUUGUUUACGAGACUGCCCAGUGUGUAAUAUCGGUCCAAACUAUCGUGAAUGUUAAAAUGUAGGUUAGAAUGUCGCUGUAAUCAACCGGCAAGUUGAUCUUUGCCUCUGUCUAGUUGUAUAAUCGAAGAAUAAUCAAGCAAAAUGGAUAUUGGCGACUAAUGAAUUAAUAUCUGCCAAAUCUGGCUUCCACAUUGUCAAGGAGAACUCACCCUGGAUCCAAAUCCUCUAUGACAGAUGAUCUUAUCACAGAAACUCCCAGUAGAAAACGGCGUACCUUCUCAGCCGCCAUGAUCCGGCUGUUGGGUACACGACUUUUCACUCGUCUUUUGUUAUUAGUGUGCUCUUUGAGCCUCCUCAGUUUGUUGUUCCUAAGCCGGUGCGGAUUUCAUGGCCUCGACGCUACUCCCAACGCAGCCAACUCUCCCAACUCCGCUCUGGAUCCUCAGGACCCCGCCGACGUCCAGCCCGACGCUCAGGCCGCUUUUCUCGAUGGUGAGUUAUUAAUUUUUCUA